rnacentral:tRNA from 1 species
GGAGGAUUGGCCGAGUGGUAAGGCACCGGCUUGCUAAGCCGUGAUCAGGGCUCCGACCCUGCGCGCGUUCGAUCCGCGCAUCCUCCG